GAUGAACGCUAGCGAUAGGCUUAACACAUGCAAGUCGAGGGGCAGCAUGGUCUUAGCUUGCUAAGACUGAUGGCGACCGGCGCACGGGUGCGUAACGCGUAUGCAACUUGCCUCACAGAGGGGGAUAACCCGUCGAAAGACGGACUAAUACCGCGUACACUCCAUCUUGGGCAUCCAAGGUAGAGGAAAUGAAAUUCGCUGUGAGAUAGGCAUGCGUCCCAUUAGCUAGUUGGUGAGGUAACGGCUCACCAAGGCGACGAUGGGUAGGGGAACUGAGAGGGUGCACCCCCACGCUGGUACUGAGACACGGACCAGACUCCUACGGGAGGCAGCAGUGAGGAAUAUUGGUCAAUGGGCGAGAGCCUGAACCAGCCAAGUCGCGUGAAGGAUGACUGUCUUAUGGAUUGUAAACUUCUUUUAUACGGGAAUAACAAGAGUCACGUGUGACUCCCUGCAUGUACCGUAUGAAUAAGCAUCGGCUAACUCCGUG
rnacentral:rRNA from 1 species